rnacentral:misc_RNA from 1 species
CGAAAUGCGAUAAGUAAUGUGAAUUGCAGAAUUCAGUGAAUCAUCGAAUCUUUGAACGCACCUUGCGCUCCUUGGUAUUCCUUGGAGCAUGCCGGUUUGAGUAUCAUGAAAUCUUCAAAGUAAAUCUUUUGUUAACUCAAUUGGUUUCUACUUUGGUAUUGGAGGUCUUUGCAGCUUCACACCUGCUCCUCUUUGUUCAUUAGCUGGAUCUCAGUGUUAUGCUUGGUUCCACUCGGCGUGAUAAGUUAUCUAUCGCUGAGGACACUGUAAAAGGUGGCCAAGGUAAAUGCAGAUGAACCGCUUCUAAUAGUCCAUUGACUUGGACAAUACUUUUAUGAUCUGAUCUCAAAUCAGGUAGGACUACCCGCUGAACUUAAGC